rnacentral:rRNA from 1 species
UACGAAGGGGGCUAGCGUUGCUCGGAAUCACUGGGCGUAAAGCGCACGUAGGCGGCUUAUUAAGUCAGGGGUGAAAUCCUGGAGCUUAACUCCAGAACUGCCUUUGAUACUGAUGAGCUUGAGUCCGGGAGAGGUGAGUGGAACUGCGAGUGUAGAGGUGAAAUUCGUAGAUAUUCGGAAGAACACCAGUGGCGAAGGCGGCUCACUGGACUGGUAUUGACGCUGAGGUGCGAAAGCGUGGGGAGCAAACAGG